rnacentral:rRNA from 1 species
CAAUAGCGUAUAUUUAAGUUGUUGCAGUUAGAAAGCUCGUGGUCGGAUUUUGGCUGAGAACGAUCGGUCCGCCGUUAGGUGUGCACUGAUUGGUCUCAGCUUCCUGGUGAGGAGGUGUGCUUCACGGCCACUUAGUCACCGUGGUUACUUUGAAAAAAUUAGAGUGUUCAAAGCGGGCUUACGCUUGAAUAUAUUAGCAUGGAAUAACACCAUAGGACUCCUGUCCUAUUUCGUUGGUCUCGGGACGGGAGUAAUGAUUAAGAGGAACAGUUGGGGGCAUUCGUAUUUCAUUGUCAGAGGUGAAAUUCUUGGAUUUAUGAAAGACGAACUUCUGCGAAAGCAUUUGCCAAGGAUGUUUUCAUUGA